CAAGAAUUGCAGCAAUGUUAUGGUUUGGAGAGACUGAAGUUGUCAUCAUACCGAAGAGCGUGAAGUAUAGAAGUGUGAAGUACAUGAAGUAUAUGUACCAAACAAACUUCCAGAUGUUCCACUCGAAAGAUGCCAUGAAGUAGAAUAUGGCACUAUAGAUCAGUGUUUGAAUGAAAACAUAUGGAAACUCAAUUGUGACCUGUGCAAAUGCAAAGGGUAGAGCUGAG
rnacentral:misc_RNA from 1 species